rnacentral:misc_RNA from 1 species
GAGGGCUCUGAAAUGGACUGGCCGCGAAGUUGUUAAAAUCAGUGGACGACGGUGUCUCCGCCCGUCGUACAGCUGGAGAUGGCGAUGAAGCCGAAUUAAAAUGGUUACCCGGUGUGAUUCCAUCAUUCUCGACCGCGGAUACGUCUUUACUACAGCAAUGGCCCAUCGUCGGAUAUGGAGGUGGUGCUAAUAGUCUUUGCUUGAUCAAGUGAAUAAAGAAAAAAAAAGUCAGAUCAUCGAACGGCAGAGAAUCUAGCUUAGACAAUUUUACAAUCCAAGUAUUUCUACCAGCGAAAAGAUCAAUAGCCAGUAGAAAGAAGAAUAAGAAGAAGGCAAAGAGAAGAUACGAAAGAAAUAUCGAAAUUGCGGGCUGCUUCGCUAUA